AUUGAACGCUGGCGGCAGGCCUAACACAUGCAAGUCGAGCGGACGAAGGGAGCUUGCUCCUGGAUUCAGCGGCGGACGGGUGAGUAAUGCCUAGGAAUCUGCCUGGUAGUGGGGGAUAACGUCCGGAAACGGGCGCUAAUACCGCAUACGUCCUGAGGGAGAAAGUGGGGGAUCUUCGGACCUCACGCUAUCAGAUGAGCCUAGGUCGGAUUAGCUAGUUGGUGGGGUAAAGGCCUACCAAGGCGACGAUCCGUAACUGGUCUGAGAGGAUGAUCAGUCACACUGGAACUGAGACACGGUCCAGACUCCUACGGGAGGCAGCAGUGGGGAAUAUUGGACAAUGGGCGAAAGCCUGAUCCAGCCAUGCCGCGUGUGUGAAGAAGGUCUUCGGAUUGUAAAGCACUUUAAGUUGGGAGGAAGGGCAGUAAGUUAAUACCUUGCUGUUUUGACGUUACCAACAGAAUAAGCACCGGCUAACUUCGCG
rnacentral:rRNA from 1 species